UUGACGUCACUUCCGGCCGCAUCGCUAACGUCAGGAGUCGUUUCUGGAGGCGGGGCCGGGGCCAAUAGCGCUGCCUCCACCAGCCGAGGAGGUAAGCUUCAGUUUGCGGCAGGAGAGGAAAACAAGAAGAGUUUAGUAGUGGAGGUGACCAAUAAGGAGAUCCCAGACCAUUUUUUAAAGGGAUUUGAGGCAAGAAAUGCAAAAGAAAAGGAGCAGUGUGUGAGGGCAGCAAUGGAAAAGAAUAGAAGAGAAUUUAAGGACUAUUUCCGGAGAUUAUGUAUUUCCUGCACAGAGUGCAAGAGGGACAAGAAAAAGACGAGUCAAAACUGGUUGAAUGGGGGCUUCCCUGGUGGCGCAGUGGUUGAGAAUCUGCCUGCUAAUGCAGGGGACACGGGUUCGAGCCCUGGUCUGGGAAGAUCCCACAUGCCACGGAGCGGCUGGGCCCGUGAGCCACAACUACUGAGCCUGCGCGUCUGGAGCCUGUGCCCCGCAACGGGAGGGGCCGCGAUAGUGAAAGGCCCGCGCACCGCGAUGAAGAGUGGCCCCCACUUGCCGCAACUAGAGAAAGCCCUCGCACGAACCGAAGACCCAGCACAGCCAAAAAUAAAAAUAAAAUAAAUAAAAAUUA